GCGGCGAACGGGUGAGUAACACGUGAGCAACCUGCCCCUGACUCCGGGAUAAGCGGUGGAAACGCCGUCUAAUACCGGAUACGACCCUCCGCCUCAUGGCGUGUGGGUGGAAAGUUUUAUCGGUCAGGGAUGGGCUCGCGGCCUAUCAGCUAGUUGGUGGGGUAAAGGCCUACCAAGGCGAUUACGGGUAGCCGGCCUGAGAGGGCGACCGGCCACACUGGGACUGAGACACGGCCCAGACUCCUGCGGGAGGCAGCAGUGGGGAAUAUUGCACAAUGGGCGAAAGCCUGAUGCAGCGACGCCGCGUGGGGGAUGACGGCCUUCGGGUUGUAAACCUCUUUUACCACCAACGCAGGCUCCACGUUCUCGUGGGGUUGACGGUAGGUGGGGAAUAAGGACCGGCUAACUACGUGCCAGCAGCCGCGGUAAUACGUAGGGUCCGAGCGUUGUCCGGAAUUAUUGGGCGUAAAGAGCUCGUAGGCGGCGUGUCGCGUCUGCUGUGAAAGACCGGGGCUUAACUCCGGUUCUGCAGUGGAUACGGGCAUGCUAGAGGUAGGUAGGGGAGACUGGAAUUCCUGGUGUAGCGGUGAAAUGCGCAGAUAUCAGGAGGAACACCGGUGGCGAAGGCGGGUCUCUGGGCCUUACCUGACGCUGAGGAGCGAAAGCAUGGGGAGCGAACAGGAUUAGAUACCCUGGUAGUCCAUGCCGUAAACGUUGGGCGCUAGGUGUGGGGACUUUCCACGGUUUCCG
rnacentral:rRNA from 1 species